rnacentral:tRNA from 1 species
AUUACUUUGGCAGAGUUAGUGUAAUGAUUUUAGAAUUCAUUUAUGUAUUUAUAUACAAGUAAUA